GAUGAACGCUGGCGGCGUGCUUAACACAUGCAAGUCGAACGAGAAGUGAAGACGGAAACCUUCUGGCGGAAGGCUUUAUUUCGAGUGGCGGACGGGUGAGUAACGCGUGGGUAACCUGCCUCAUACAGGGGGAUAACAGUUGGAAACGACUGUUAAUACCGCAUAAGACCACAGCACCGCAUGGUGCGGGGGUAAAAACUCCGGUGGUAUGAGAUGGACCCGCGUUCGAUUAGCCAGUUGGCGGGGUAACGGCCCACCAAAGCGACGAUCGAUAGCCGAUCUGAGAGGAUGACCGGACACAUUGGGACUGAGACACGGCCCAAACUCCUACGGGAGGCAGCAGUGGGGAAUAUUGCACAAUGGGGGAAACCCUGAUGCAGCGACGCCGCGUGAGUGAAGAAGUAUUUCGGUAUGUAAAGCUCUAUCAGCAGGGAAGAAAAUGACGGUACCUGAGUAAGAAGCCCCGGCUAACUACGUG
rnacentral:rRNA from 1 species